rnacentral:rRNA from 1 species
GAUCCUGGCUCAGGAUGAACGCUAGCUACAGGCUUAACACAUGCAAGUCGAGGGGCANCAUGGUCUUAGCUUGCUAAGACUGAUGGCGACCGGCGCACGGGUGAGUAACACGUAUCCAACCUGCCGUCUACUCUUGGACAGCCUUCUGAAAGGAAGAUUAAUACAAGAUGGCAUCAUGAGUCCGCAUGUUCACAUGAUUAAAGGUAUUCCGGUAGACGAUGGGG